ensembl:lncRNA
GAAUCAGGGUGGAUUGAGAGUGACGUGGCCUGGCUUGAAUCUUCACCUCCCUGGGCUUUGUUGGCUCCGGCCUGGCUGAUGAGGACCAGCUGACACACACACACACACACACACACACACACACAUGCGCAUACAUUCUCUCUUUCACUCUCUUCUCCUACACUCUCACACACUGCCAUCACUCAUUCCUCUAUCACUCGCUCACAUUACUUGACAAGACCUUCUGUCAUUUCCCUCCGAGCCAUUUCCUUCCCCUUAAACAAACAAACAAACAAACAAACAAACAAACACAGAGUGAUGAGACAAAAUACAUAGGAAAUAAAAGAUGUCUCCUCCUUUUCUCCUUCCCUCAUUUCUUCCUUCCCUCGUUCUCCCCUUCUCUCUUUCCAUCGUUCACUUCUUCCCUCCUUCUCUCCUUCCUUCAGUCUUUCCUUCUCUCCUUCCCUCCAGAUUUCAUUCCCUCGCUCUCGGCAGCAGGAUUGUCAGGACGAAAGGGAAGGGCGCUGCUGUGUUUUUUAAUUAGCGCCCAUGACAACGUGGUGGUGUGGUGUAAUUAAUUAGAGCCGGAGAAGAUGAUCCCUGCUAGUCGUCAAAUAAUGAGCUUUACGAGUCGCUCUAAAACUGAGGGCCACAUCGUUCACGCCGCCGUUUUACAUCCUGGAUAUCGAUAGCGGCCGUAAGUCAUACGCGACUGGACGGGAUCUGAGGAUCUGAGCGGACAAUGAUGGCUGCCGUCGUGAGGAGGAAGGAAAAAAAAGCCCAGAGUACAGAGGACGACGGAGGGAGGUGAUGUGAGAGAGAAGAAGAGUUCUUUAAGGGUUCUUUACCCACGUGCGACGUACGAAAGGGGCCGGAAACUGGCUGGAACUUCAGUUCCGCUUCCCGGGAAGGCGCAGCGGGAGGGGGAGAGCUUACUUCCAUCAUGUGUGUGAAUCCCGAUGACGGCACGGACAUACACGUCCAUGAGUUCGACAGAACAAAAUUGUCCGUGGUCUCAGGGUGGGAGGGGCGUACUCCGGCCCGUCCAGGAUUUUGUGAUUUCGCGAUUGCGGAAACGGACCUACUCCGCGAUAUUCAGAGGAGCUUGCGAUUUUCCAAAAUUAGAGAACCGAAUCUCAAUCCCAAAGCCCUGUUCGACUCACGUGCGUCGAGUACACCUAAAAGGUCUCAUUUACCAACAAUCAAUGACUACGUGACUUUACACGGACAGCGGUAAUUUAACUACUGACCUUAUUCUGAAUAAGACGAUAUUCUGAUUAAGGUGUUUACAUGAGUCGCUUUUAGAACACUCCUCUCGUGCUCCCGUUUUACGUGUUAUAGAACGUAGAUCGAUUAACGGCGCACGUCGUUACGUCCCCGCGCCACGCCGUCCGACGUCCCUCCAGAAUUUCACGUAUCGACGUACAGUCGGUCUACGUUACGGGACCGUAUACCGUUUUGUGUUUUUUUUAUUUUUAAUUUUACGGAAGCUUCAAGUGCGGUUAAUUAUUUAUCGAGCCGUACGUGCGAACAGACGACCGCUUGAAGCCGUGGGCUGCGUCCCAAACCGCGUACUUACCGUCUAUAUAGUAGCCGAGAUACGUGUAUUUCGCCUAUUGUAUACUGUAGCAGGUAAGUACGCGGUCUGGGACGCAGCCGUGCUCUCUCGUUCGCCGUCAAACGGUCGUUAAUAGUGUGAUUAAGGCGUGUACACGUCUGUCACGCGACUAAAACAGGAAAACUCCACACGUCUUAAUUCCAUUUGUGUUCGAGUACGACUUUAAUCGGAUUAAGGUCAUCAAUAAUCGCCGUUUACAUGCUAGUUUCUCAAUCAGAGUAUCGUCUUAAUCGGGGUUCAUAUCGGAUUAUCGUCGUCCGUGUAAACGUACCGACCGUGAAAGUGCGUGCAAAACAAUUCUGUGCGAUUGUGAUUUUGACAAGUAGUUUACAGGAACAAAGCCCGAAAAACUAGGAAAUACACGGCGGCGUAUGACUUGACGUAGUGUUCAACCAAAUAAACGAAGUGAAAAAUACGCUAGGGUUCAACAUUUAGUUUGGGACCGGUGCUACUCCUAAAAAUCUUGCAGCAUCAGAAUAAAACUACAACGCCAAUAAAGCUACUGUUGCUGUGUACCAUGUGGAGUAGUGUAGUACUGUACAGUCUUCCUGACGUGAGACCACAACCCCUCCGAAACGUACCGUUUCACCCCUCAUCCCGGAAAUAAGUCCUAACAUCCCGAAUCCUAAAAGGUUCCGCGCUUUCAGAAGAUCGAUUCCCGCGAAGGCUCUCGUCUUAACCUAUACGCACUAUAUUAUUUUAGCAGAUUGACUGAACCUGUUUGCACCGCCGCAGCUAUAAAGAUCAGGUCCUCGGGGUCCGAUGACUCGCUUCGACAAAGACGUUACGCUUUAAAAGCUCUGAGCGUGAGCGUGAGACAGCCCGGGCCGCACAGAGAGCUUUUAAAGUCGUCUAUUAAAAACGCAUCCUCAGCUGUUAGACCGGCGUUGGCGUGGCGGCGUCACGCUUUUCAGGCCGUAUUUAGACUGUAAAAACGUCCCGAGACGAUCGGUCUGGAGCUGCAGAAGAAAGGGUGAAUAAAACGUAUAAAUCGAUCCAAUUUAAGCUUGUAAAAGUCUAAAAAGGCCUAACGUAUACAGAGUGUGUGUGUGUGUGUGUGUGUGUGUGUGUGUGUUUUAAUUAAAAAGCAAGCUAAGAAUUCAUUUAUACAUUGUCUUGAUUUUAUAUGAGCAUUUUUUGAAUGCAGGUGGUUUUAUGGAAUUAGUCACAUGACCAAACCCAUUAUGAGCACGAGCUCUAUUAAAUAAAACGGAAUAAAAAUGUAAUAACGCUCACACGGCUACCGCAUUUGGCACGAAGCCCCAACGUUAAAGGGUUUAUUACGGAUUUAUUUAUUUAUUUAUUUAUUUUAAUGCCACAUUCACAUCACCAUUUACACUCUCAGCCACAAUCCUGACCCCCUGGUAUAACCGUGGUUCAGUCUAAAUAUGUCAUAAAUGAGUAAAUAACCAGCAAACGGUUGGAAAUUACGACGACGUAGACCACGAGAAAAAAAAAAAAGAAAAAAAAAAGGUAACGUUUUGUCAUGAUUGUAAGUUUUGCUUUUAAUAAUUGACUUUAUAAACUUUAUAAACAUGAUUUGGGAGGGGAUGAUGUUGUUUAUCAAUCAGUCAAAAGUGUGAGCAAGAAUAAAACAUGUUAUCAUUAACCUUUUAUUUAUGAAGUAGCUAAGCGGCUAACUAGCUAAAUGAAUUACUGAACUGAUUCCUUGAAUGAUUCAUUAAUUAGUUAUAAUCGUGUGAUACUCGUCAUCAUCACUUUAAAACAAAUACUUGGAUUAAAAAUUUUUAUUUUUUUUUAAAUGCAUCGACUCCUUUCGACUCAUUUCUUUCUCCUGAAUGUAUAAUAUUCAGGAGACAUAUACAAUCUCCUUUUUUUUCAAUUUCAGUUAUUUAUUUUUUUUAAUUAGCCGCAGCAAGUCGAUGCGUUUAUUUAAUUCAUUUAUUUAUUUUUCAUUAUAGAAACCAUGAGCAGGUCCAGACUUAACAAUCCUUUUCUCCCAUAAUUGCACAUCUUUCUGAUUAUUUUCAUAGUGGUUAGUGAAUAAUAAGAUGGAGAUGAAUAAGAGGAUAAUGCUCUGUGCGUUUAAGCGCUUAAUUGGUUUUGUAAUUGGAUUAUUUUCUUUUCACAGAAGAUAUUCAUCCUAUAGUAUUCGGUAACGCAGUAUGUAAUUUACCGUGUAUAUGCAGUUUGGAUGGGGUGUGUGUGUGUGUGUCUGUGUGGGUGUGUGUGGGUGUGUGUGUGUGUGGGCGUGCCUGAUAGCACUAAUCUAUCACAGUCAUUAUGAACCAUCUGCCACAGGCGCGAUGACAGAGGGUGGCAGUGCCAUAGCAGAGGAGGAUAACAACACCUGUAACUCGUUAGGGCAUGUUGAUGCACUGCCGCGGGGUGUGAACACGGCAUGCAGAGUGACACACACACACACACACAGAACACUCACACCUGCUCAUUUCAGCAGUAUCUCCUUACAGCCCUGUUGUAUCCCCUCUCUCUCUCUCUCUCUCUGUGUGUGUGUGUGUGUGUGUGAGCUGAUCUCAAUAUGGAGCUUUAUGAUAUGACGUGGUAUUAUAGUGUUCUCUGGCCUGUACACCGGGUAGUGCUCUGUAUCACCAUGGAGAUCUGAGCAUUAUUUCAGGACUGAUCUGAUUACACACACACACACACACACACACACACACACACACAGAGCAACCCCAAUUCUGAGCAUUACAAAAAGAAAUUUGCUGCCGUGAAGCCGACUGAGAGUCUGUACGAGCCUGAAAAGGGAAGCUUGGAAGCGUCAUACGAAAACGGCGUGGUCCGGGACGAGAUCAAACGGCCGUUAUUUUUUUUAUUUGAUUUCAUCGCGCGCAAGUCGCCAGUACUGUAGGCGUUCCUAACACUGGUUGCCAUAGUAACAUUUAUCAGUAGGUGGCGCAAUUAGCGUCGCAGUUUCGACAACGGAUUAUUUUUCACGCCGUAAAAUGCACCGAGUCGCUACGAAACUUUUUACCGGCUUUUGUCGCAUCGCCGGACACGCCCACGUCGAGUCGCCGACGGUCACCGGAACUCGCCGGCUCUCGUCGAAAACGAUUUAUAGUUAUCCUAGUUACAACGCAAGCGGUGUAUUUUGUGCGCGUGAUAGAGUUUAACGCGUUUAAGGCGUUUCGGUUGAAAGGAAAACACUGUAAAGCUUGGUAGUGUUUAAAUAAAACCAUAUGGGAGGGGUUUUCAGCAUCGGAACCGGAAAAGAAAAAAGCGUUUCGGUGUCACCUCGAUUCCCCGCACGACUAUAAAACAAGGCGCAUUUACAGUGAGACGCCUCGUUAGAACUAAUUUCCGGUCUUCGGUUAACACAGGAAUAUACGUGUGCAUGUCGAAAUACUCUGUGGUUUGUGGUAAUCACACAUACCGGAUACAUUCAGUAUAUCGAGGCCAGGCUGUAAAAACACACCUCAGUAGUGUCCCUUUAAUAUGUGUCAGAGCCCUUUAUUAAACGGCUUCUGCACAUUUUUGAUGAUCUCCCGCAGCGGUGGUUGGUGUAACCGGGUCAGUCUGUGUGCCCCAGACCACAUGUCACUCCGAUGUCUGACUUCAUUAGCAAACGUUCCCGGCUUUCUUCCGUUUGAAAAAAAAAACAAACAAAAGUGAACUGUCAUUUUCACAACUCUCACUCCUCCUCCUCCGCAUCAUCAUCAUCAUCAUCAUCAUCAUCGUCCUUCGCCCUCCGUGUAAUAAAUGCUCUUCCAGCUUUGAAGUAAAUAAUUUAUCCGACGAGUCGAACGUUUUCUCUUUAAAGGGUUAAGUGCUUGGUUUUGGCAGAGCGGCAAUUUACUUCCUGCUCAUGAAUAAAAGAUGGAGGUGUGCAGCUGGGGACGAAGCUGUCUGGGGCUUUUUAUACUUAUUUAUGUGUGUGUGUUUGUGUGUGUGUGUGUUUUUCCCUUACGUCACAGUAAAACUUUCCCGUAUAGACAGUUCGUGAUGAAGCAGUGUUCUGAGCCUCCUUUAUCUCAUCACGUUUCAGGGCUUUUUGUCCUCCUCUAUCUGUGAUGAACACACCGCCUCCGUCCGAUCUUUAACCGGACGCUAGAAUGCUUCUGGUAAAGGACUGAAUGUACAGUAGAGCUGUGAGCGACGGUAGCACGCUACACAAUUUUAUUUAUUAAAGCACGUCACAUCGUACUUAUCCGUUUUGUGGGUACGUUUAACGCCGUGGAACGUCCACAGAACAGAUUAGUUCAUGUUUUCACGUGUAUUACCGCAGCUAUAAACCUUCUCUUGACGUUAAUAUAAAAACAACAACAACAACAACAACAAAAAAAUGCAGCUUGCGUUAUUACCAAGAAAUCGCAACGUGUAAAUUCCUCUUUCCUGACUUGACGCUGGAGACUCCUUCCAUAAAUGUUAACGCGACGUCUCCUUACAGAAAACUUCGCCAUAUUGACUUUUUUUUUUUUUUUAAACGGUUUUCAUUACCGUAUAACAAGGCAGUCUGCG